UACGAAGGGGGCUAGCGUUGCUCGGAAUCACUGGGCGUAAAGGGUGCGUAGGCGGGUCUUUAAGUCAGGGGUGAAAUCCUGGAGCUCAACUCCAGAACUGCCUUUGAUACUGAGGAUCUUGAGUUCGGGAGAGGUGAGUGGAAUUCCCAGUGUAGAGGUGAAAUUCGUAGAUAUUGGGAAGAACACCGGUGGCGAAGGCGGCUCACUGGCUCAUUACUGACGCUCAGGCGCGAUAGCGUGGGGAUCAAACAGG
rnacentral:rRNA from 1 species